GAUGAACGCUAGCGGCAGGCUUAACACAUGCAAGUCGAGGGGCAGCAUAAUGGAUAGCAAUAUCUAUGGUGGCGACCGGCGCACGGGUGCGUAACGCGUAUGCAACCUACCUUUAACAGGGGGAUAACACUGAGGAAUUGGUACUAAUACCCCAUAAUAUCAUAGAAGGCAUCUUUUAUGGUUGAAAAUUCCGAUGGUUAGAGAUGGGCAUGCGUUGUAUUAGCUAGUUGGUGGGGUAACGGCUCACCAAGGCGACGAUACAUAGGGGGACUGAGAGGUUAACCCCCCACACUGGUACUGAGACACGGACCAGACUCCUACGGGAGGCAGCAGUGAGGAAUAUGGGUCAAUGGACGCAAGUCUGAACCAGCCACGCCGCGUGCAGGAGGACGGCUCUAUGAGUGGUAAACUGCUUUUGUACGAGGGUAAACGCAGAUACGUGUAUCUGUCUGAAAGUAUCGUACGAAUAAGGAUCGGCUAACUCCGUG
rnacentral:rRNA from 1 species